CCUACGGGAGGCUGCAGUGGGGAAUAUUGGACAAUGGGCGAAAGCCUGAUCCAGCCAUGCCGCGUGUGUGAAGAAGGCCUUCGGGUUGUAAAGCACUUUCAGUGGGGAAGAAAGCCUUGGGGCUAAUACCCUCGAGGAAGGACAUCACCCACAGAAGAAGCACCGGCUAACUCCGUGCCAGCAGCCGCGGUAAUACGGAGGGUGCGAGCGUUAAUCGGAAUUACUGGGCGUAAAGCGCGCGUAGGCGGUCUGAUAAGCCGGUUGUGAAAGCCCCGGGCUCAACCUGGGAACGGCAUCCGGAACUGUCAGGGUAGAGUGCAGGAGAGGAAGGUAGAAUUCCCGGUGUAGCGGUGAAAUGCGUAGAGAUCGGGAGGAAUACCAGUGGCGAAGGCGGCCUUCUGGACUGACACUGACGCUGAGGUGCGAAAGCGUGGGUAGCAAACAGGAUUAGAUACCCUUGUAGUC
rnacentral:rRNA from 1 species